rnacentral:rRNA from 1 species
CCUACGGGAGGCAGCAGUGGGGAAUAUUGGGCAAUGGGCGCAAGCCUGACCCAGCAACGCCGCGUGAAGGAAGAAGGCUUUCGGGUUGUAAACUUCUUUUGACAGGGAAGAGUAGAAGACGGUACCUGUCGAAUAAGCGACGGCUAACUACGUGCCAGCAGCCGCGGUAAUACGUAGGUGGCAAGCGUUGUCCGGAUUUACUGGGUUUAAAGGGCGUGUAGCCGGGUUGACAAGUCAGAUGUGAAAUCCUGGGGCUUAACCGCAGAACUGCAGUUGAAACUGUCGAUCUUGAGUACUGGAGAGGCAGACGGAAUGCCUAGUGUAGCGGUGAAAUGCUUAGAUAUUAGGAGGAACACCAGUGGCGAAGGCAGUAUGCUGGACAGCAACUGACGGUGAGGCACGAAAGCGUGGGGAGCAAACAGGAUUAGAUACCCCAGUAGUC